rnacentral:RNase_P_RNA from 1 species
GGAGCUCGAAAGACAAUCGCUUCUUUUGAAGAGGAAAGUCCGGGCAACAAAGAGUACGGUAGUCGCUAACGGCGACCGUUCGUAAGAAUAGGGAAAGUACCACAGAAACAAAACUGCCCUUUUGGGCGAUGGUGAAAAGAGUGGGGUAAGAGCCCACAGCAGGGUGUAGCGAUACGCUCUGGCGGCAAACCCUACCGGUUGCAAGGAGUGCUAUUAGCCUUUACUCGAGGACGCACGCUUACCGCUCGAGCCAUGAAGCAAUUUAUGGCCUAGAUAGAUGAUUGUCGGCCUUUUUAGGUUACAGAACCCGGCUUACUGAGAGCUCAUUAC